rnacentral:sRNA from 1 species
AAAUUCUCCGAUUCCAUCAAAAUUUCACACAUUCUUCUUGGUUAUGGAUAUAAUCUUCAAAGUUGGAAUCUAUAUGUACUUUGAUACACAAAUAAUUUGAUCAAAUUAUUGAAAUCAUGGUACAAUAAAAAAGUGGUGAAACAUUUUGCAUGCGGAAAUAUUUGUGCCUAUGUCUGUCUUGUCGUCGUGGUUGCCGAAGAACGGAUUUUGUAUGCGGUAUAUGCUGAUGUGAUUGAUAGGUAAAAAAAUACCGUAAUCGUGGUGUCUACGUGAUUGUCUGGUAGAAUGUAGUUUUAUGUAUGUUCGCUUUUUAUGUAUGGGAAUCUUUCAUUAAUUUAUGCCGGAAUAAACCAGAUCGUGCUUUUUUAUCGCCACCGGGGGGUGUUUAAA